GCCUGCUCCUGGCCCUGGACUUCAACCCCGGCGGGGCCCUCAAGUGGCCCGGG
rnacentral:tRNA from 1 species